rnacentral:tRNA from 1 species
ACUCAGCUGCGCCAUAAGCACCUCACACGAAUUGCUUGAUUCAUUGAAGAAGACGAUUAGAAGCAGCUUUAAGCUCCAAGCUGAUAGCUCAACGCUAGCGGCUACAAGCUCUGAAAUUGGGUCUGUAGCUCAGUUGGUUAGAGCGCACCCCUGAUAAGGGUGAGGUCGGCAGUUCGAAUCUGCCCAGACCCACCAAUUUUGUGUGGGAAACGCCUGUAGAAAUACGGGGCCAUAGCUCAGCUGGGAGAGCGCCUGCCUUGCACGCAGGAGGUCAGCGGUUCGAUCCCGCUUGGCUCCGCCACUUACUGCUUCUGUUUGAAAGCUUAGAAAUGAGCAUUCCAUUGAUCGAGAGGAGCGGUGCCUGAAUGUUGAUUUCUAGUCUUUGAUUAGAUCGUUCUUUAAAAAUUUGGGUAUGUGAUAGAAAGAAAUAUAGACCGGGCACCUCUUUCACUGGUGCGUGUCCGGGCUAAGGUAAAGUUUGUGAAAUGCAAACUUUCGGCGAAUGUCGUCUUCACAGUAUAACCAGAUGGCUUGUGGUUAUAUG